GCCGGUGUAGCUCAGUUUGGUAGAGCAACUGAUUCGUAAUCAGUAGGUCGGUGGUUCGAAUCCACUCACCGGCACCG
rnacentral:tRNA from 1 species